GCGGCGAGUGAAGCGGCAAAAGCUCAAAUUUGAAAUCUGGCUCUUUCAGAGUCCGAGUUGUAAUUUGAAGAAGGUAUCUUUGGGUCUGGCUCUUGUCUAUGUUUCUUGGAACAGAACGUCACAGAGGGUGAGAAUCCCGUGCGAUGAGAUGAUCCAGGCCUAUGUAAAGUUCCUUCGAAGAGUCGGUUGUUUGGGAAUGCAGCUCUAAGUGGGUGGUAAAUUCCAUCUAAAGCUAAAUAUUGGCGAGAGACCGAUAGCGAACAAGUACAGUGAUGGAAAGAUGAAAAGAACUUUGAAAAGAGAGUGAAAAAGUACGUGAAAUUGUUGAAAGGGAAGGGCUUGAGAUCAGACUUGGUAUUUUGUAUGUUACUUCUUCGGGGGUGGCCUCUACAGUUUAUCGGGCCAGCAUCAGUUUGGGCGGUAGGAGAAUUGCGUUGGAAUGUGGCACGGCUUCGGUUGUGUGUUAUAGCCUUCGUCGAUACUGCCAGCCUAGACUGAGGACUGCGGUUUAUACCUAGGAUGUUGGCAUAAUGAUCUUAAGUCGC
rnacentral:rRNA from 1 species